UACAGAGGCUCCAAGCAUUAUCCGGAAUCACUGGGCGUAAAGGGUGUGUAGGCGGUCAUAUUAGUCUUUCGUGAAAGCUCUCCGGCUUAACCGAGGAAACGCGGGGGAAACGGUAUGGCUACGAGGACGUAAGAGGUAAAGGGAACUCAUGGUGUAGGGGUGAAAUCCGUUGAUAUCAUGGGGAACACCAAAUGCGAAGGCACUUUACUGGUACGCUCCUGACGCUGAAACACGAAAGCGUGGGAAGCGAACAGG
rnacentral:rRNA from 1 species